UGCUUCAUUUCUCAGCUGAGCCUCCAUCCUCAGCACCCCCAGCAGGGACCUCUGAGGUGGAACAGC
rnacentral:miRNA from 1 species